rnacentral:rRNA from 1 species
AGAGUUUGAUCCUGGCUCAGGAUUAACGCUGGCGGCGUGCCUAACACAUGCAAGUCGAGCGGCAGCGAGUUUUACACUGAAUUCUGGAAGCUUCUGGGUAAUAUAGAAGAUCUAUUCAAGAAUUUUGUGUAAAAUGUCGGCGAGCGGCGGACGGCUGAGUAACGCGUAGGAAUUUGCCCCAAAGUGAGGAAUAACUGCCCGAAAGGGUAGCUAAUGCCGCAUAUGGUCUUCGGAUUAAAGCCUUCGGGCGCUUUGGGAGAAGCCUGCGUUGGAUUAGGUAGUUGGUAGGGUAAUGGCCUACCAAGCCGACGAUCCAUAGCUGGUCUGAGAGGAUGAUCAGCCAGACUGGAACUGAGACACGGUCCAGACUCCUACGGGAGGCAGCAGUGAGGAAUCUUCCACAAUGGGCGAAAGCCUGAUGGAGCAACGCCGCGUGAAGGAUGAAGGCCUUCGGGUUGUAAACUUCUUUUAUGAGUGAAGAAUAUGACGGUAACUCAUGAAUAAGCACCGGCUAACUACGUGCCAGCAGCCGCGGUCAUACGUAGGGUGCAAGCAUUAUCCGGAGUGACUGGGCGUAAAGAGUUGCGUAGGCGGUUUAAUAAGUGAAUAGUGAAACCUGGUGGCUCAACCAUACAGACUAUUAUUCAAACUGUUAAACUCGAGAAUGGUAGAGGUAACUGGAAUUUCUAGUGUAGGAGUGAAAUCCGUAGAUAUUAGAAGGAACACCGAUGGCGUAGGCAGGUUACUGGGCCAUUUCUGACGCUAAGGCACGAAAGCGUGGGGAGCGAACCGGAUUAGAUACCCGGGUAGUCCACGCCGUAAACGAUGGAUACUAGCUGUUUGGGGUAUCGACCCCCUGAGUAGCGAAGCUAACGCGUUAAGUAUCCCGCCUGUGGAGUACGAUCGCAAGAUUAAAACAUAAAGGAAUUGACGGGGACCCGCACAAGCGGUGGAUCAUGUUCUUUAAUUCGAUGAUAACCGAUAAACCUUACCAGGUCUUGACAUCCUUGGAAUCUUUCAGAAAUGAGAGAGUGCUUUUUAAGAGCCAAGUGACAGGUGAUGCAUGGCCGUCGUCAGCUCGUGUCGUGAGAUGUUUGGUUAAGUCCAUCAACGAGCGCAACCCUUGCAACCAGUUGUAUUUUUCUGGUAGGACUGCCCCGGUAACGGGGAGGAAGGAGGGGAUGAUGUCAGGUCAGUAUUU